AUGAACGCUGGCGGCGUGCCUAAUUCAUGCAAGUCGAGCGAACAGACGAGGAGCUUGCUCCUCUGACGUUAGCGGCGGACGGGUGAGUAACACGUGGAUAACCUACCUAUAAGACUGGGAUAACUUCGGGAAACCGGAGCUAAUACCGGAUAAUAUAUUGAACCGCAUGGUUCAAUAGUGAAAGACGGUUUUGCUGUCACUUAUAGAUGGAUCCGCGCCGCAUUAGCUAGUUGGUAAGGUAACGGCUUACCAAGGCGACGAUGCGUAGCCGACCUGAGAGGGUGAUCGGCCACACUGGAACUGAGACACGGUCCAGACUCCUACGGGAGGCAGCAGUAGGGAAUCUUCCGCAAUGGGCGAAAGCCUGACGGAGCAACGCCGCGUGAGUGAUGAAGGUCUUCGGAUCGUAAAACUCUGUUAUUAGGGAAGAACAAAUGUGUAAGUAACUAUGCACGUCUUGACGGUACCUAAUCAGAAAGCCACGGCUAACUACGUG
rnacentral:rRNA from 1 species